rnacentral:rRNA from 1 species
UACGUAGGGGGCUAGCGUUGUCCGGAUUUAUUGGGCGUAAAGAGCGUGUAGGCGGCCAGGUAGGUCUGCUGUGAAAACUCGAGGCUCAACCUCGAGACGUCGGUUGAAACCAUCUGGCUAGAGUCCGGAAGAGGAGAGUGGAAUUCCCGGUGUAGCGGUGAAAUGCGCAGAUAUCGGGAAGAACACCCGUGGCGAAGGCGGCUCUCUGGGACGGUACUGACGCUGAGACGCGAAAGCGUGGGGAGCGAACAGG